GUCUACGGCCAUGCCACCCUGAACAAGCCCAAUGUCUGAUCUCGGAAGCUAAGCAGGGUCAGGCCUGGUUAGCAUUUGGAUGGGAGACCACCUAGGAAGAUCAGGUGCUGUAGGCG
rnacentral:rRNA from 1 species